rnacentral:rRNA from 1 species
UACGAGGGGUGCUAGCGUUGUCCGGAAUCAUUGGGCGUAAAGGGUCCGUAGGUGUCUUUGCAAGUCGUUUGUUACAUUCACCGGCUCAACCGGUGGCCUGCAAUCGAAACUGCAAGGAUAGAGUUCGAGAGAGGAAAGUGGAAUUCCUGGUGUAGCGGUGACAUGCGUAGAUAUCAGGAGGAACACCAAUGGCGAAGGCAGCUUUCUGGCUCGAUACUGACACUGAGGGACGAAAGCGUGGGUAGCGAAC